AUGUUCAGGACUGAAAGAAAUAGUGGAGACAGGACCAAAAGCAACUACAAUUACUUUGUAAAAUCCCUGUUGUUUUCUAUCUUAUGCAGCAAAGAAGAGAAUCCAGGUGAGAUGCCUUUCAGAGGAGCAGUAGAAGCUAAUAUUCUAGUCACACUGAUCAUAUGGGCUUAUUGUGCCUUCAACACCUCUCUUGAUAGCCACAGUAUGUUUGGAGUUCCCUGCAUGAGCAAUUUUCCUAGAAGUGAGCAAUCAGGCAAAGAGAGGACUCUGAAGAUGGAGGUACUGGUGUCAACAAAUGCUAAGUGUCCAGAUAUAUCUGUCACUCUGAGAACAAAGCUAAUUCUCCUGUCCACCAGCAAACUCCAAUAA
rnacentral:lncRNA from 1 species